AUGUAUUUAAUAAUGUAUUUACCGGCGCAAGUCAAACUUCCUCUUUCCAAAGGAAGCACACACAAUUAUGAAAAUGACCAAGCAUUCUCUCUCUCUCUCUCUCUCUCUCUCUCUUUCUCUCUCUCUCUCUCUCUCUCUCUUUCUCUAUACAUAUUUCAGCCACUUGUCUCUCACAACCCCAGACUUACACACACACUCUUUCUCUCUCUCUCUAACUCACACACACAACCCUGGGCUCAUUUGGACAUUGCAGAAACUUUCAUCAGCAAAGAGAGUGUGUUCGUCAAGAUGCAGGUGUUGCUUGCGGAGAUAAAAGCUUUUCCUGGACUUCUGGUGCUACUGAUUGCAUCUUCUCGUGGUCUGGACCCCAUCUGUGAUCCUACUCAGGAUGCUGCAUGUAAAGGGGCUCUGGGAGGACCUGUGCGUCUGCAGCUGAUGAGGGACGCCACAGGAUAUGACCUGAAGUUAUACAGUGGAGAUAAGAAUGUUUUUACAUCCAAAAACUCCAAGACAGUGUUCAAUAACGAGUUCAACACCCCAUCAUUCAUCCAGAGGUGGCAGUUUGUUAACGGGAUCCUGAUUAUAAACCCUACAGAGAGGAGAGACUCAGGAACAUACAGAGUGGAGAUCCAUGAGGAGUCAACAGGGAAGAGAUUGGGAGAUCACACAGUACAGCUGAUCAUUGAAGCCCCUGUGUCUAAUGUGGACCUGUCAAUCAGCUGCUCAGCCAAUGGGGAGAGGAGGGUGAGGUGUUCAUCCAAUGGGGACAGUCCUCAGUACAGCUGGGCUCUGGAUGGGAGGCCUCUGAGUGAAGCUUUUGCUGAUCUCAGUCCAGAUAACCAGACUCUCUCGAUGAGGGGGUGUGUGCUUGGGAACCUCUCCUGCAGCGCCUGGAACCACAUCAGCAGCACACACACCUCAGCAUUGCUGCUGGAUGCCUGCUCUGCUGCUGCUACUGUCUAUACUGUCUACUCUCCAGUGUUCAUCAGUGUGUGGUUGGCAGGGAUCAUCAUACUCACAGCUCUGCUGGUGGGAGGUUGUUACCUCUGCACACGGAACAAGAGAACACACACUCCAGAUGACCGCAGGAGGAGGAGGAAACCAGAGGAGGUGCAGAUGAAGUGACUCCCCAUUGGCUCAGAGGGUGUCCAGCUCCAGAAUACUCCCAGAUUUAAAGAAAUCAUUUGAAGAAUACUCCUCCAUUCCUCAACCUCCAUAGUGACUUUGAUCAGUCAUACAGUAUACUUGUGUCACAACAGGAAACAGAGGGGGCAUGUCAAAUAUUCUGUCAGGCUGUAAGGGCUGGACAGGGUAACUCUUGGUCAGAUGCUUAUUGUUGGUAGAGGCUCCAUGUGCUGUUCUGAGGUCAGUCCUUGUUUUUCUCUCAUGAUGGGUCAGAUCAGGACUGGAGGAGGGGAACCUGGUCUCAGAUCAGCUUGCAGAGGCAGCCUUAGCACAGAGAGAUUUCACACUGAUCUCCUCA
rnacentral:lncRNA from 1 species